AGUCGAGCGAGCAAAGUUAAAGGAAUACUUCGGUAGGAAUUUAAUAGCGCGAGCGGCGGAUGGGUGAGUAACACGUGGGCAAUCUACCCUUUAGCUUGGGAUACCACUUGGAAACAGGUGCUAAUACCAAAUAAGAAGUAAGAGCGCAUGCUCAAGCUAUGAAAGGCGGCUUUCGAGCUGUCACUAAAGGAUGAGCCCGCGGUGCAUUAGCUAGUUGGUAAGGUAACGGCUUACCAAGGCAAUGAUGCAUAGCCGAGUUGAGAGACUGAUCGGCCACAUUGGGACUGAGACACGGCCCAAACUCCUACGGGAGGCAGCAGUAGGGAAUCCUCCACAAUGGACGCAAGUCUGAUGGAGCAACGCCGCGUGAGUGAAGAAGGUUUUCGGAUCGUAAAGCUCUGUUGUUGGUGAAGAAGGACAUGGAUAGUAACUGAUCUAUGUUUGACGGUAAUCAACCAGAAAGUCACGGCUAACUACGUGCCAGCAGCCGCGGUAAUACGUAGGUGGCAAGCGUUGUCCGGAUUUAUUGGGCGUAAAGCGAACGCAGGCGGGAGAACAAGUCAGCUGUGAAAGCCCUCGGCUUAACCGAGGAACGGCAACUGAAACUGUUUUUCUUGAGUGCAGAAGAGGAGAGUGGAACUCCAUGUGUAGCGGUGAAAUGCGUAGAUAUAUGGAAGAACACCAGUGGCGAAGGCGGCUCUCUGGUCUGUAACUGACGCUGAGGUUCGAAAGCAUGGGUAGCGAACAGGAUUAGAUACCCUGGUAGUCCAUGCCGUAAACGAUGAGUGCUAAGUGUUGGGAGGUUUCCGCCUCUCAGUGCUGCAGCUAACGCAUUAAGCACUCCGCCUGGGGAGUACGACCGCAAGGUUAAAACUCAAAGGAAUUGAC
rnacentral:rRNA from 1 species